rnacentral:rRNA from 1 species
ACGGGAGGCGGCAGUGAGGAAUAUUGGUCAAUGGUCGGAAGACUGAACCAGCAAAGUCGCGUGCAGGAAGAUGGUCCUAUGGAUUUUAAACUGCUUUUGUACGGGACUAAAGUGCGGGACGUGUCCCGUUUGGAAUGUACCGUAAGAAUAAGGGUCGGCUAACUACGUGCCAGCAGCCGCGGUAAUACGGCGGACCCGAGCGUUAUCCGGAUUUAUUGGGUUUUAAGGGUGCGCAGGCGGAGGAUUAAGUCAGCGGGGAAAUUUUCAUGCUCAACAAGAAACCUGCCAUUGAUACUGGUCCCCUUGAGAGAUGUCGAGGAUGGCGGAAUGUGAUGUGUAGCGGUGAAAUGCUUAGAUAUGUCACAGAACACCGAUUGCGAAGGCAGCUGUCCAGAGAUCAUCUGACGCUCAGGCACGAAAGCAUGGGUAUCAAACAGGAUUAGAUACCCUGGUA